AUGAUUUUGGUCUGACUUACCAUGCAGUCGAACGGCAGCACGGGUGCUUGCACCUGGUGGCGAGUGGCGAACGGGUGAGUAAUACAUCGGAACGUGUCCUGUAGUGGGGGAUAGCCCGGCGAAAGCCGGAUUAAUACCGCAUACGAUCUACGGAUGAAAGCGGGGGAUCUUCGGACCUCGCGCUAUAGGGGCGGCCGAUGGCGGAUUAGCUAGUUGGUGAGGUAAAGGCUCACCAAGGCGACGAUCCGUAGCUGGUCUGAGAGGACGACCAGCCACACUGGGACUGAGACACGGCCCAGACUCCUACGGGAGGCAGCAGUGGGGAAUUUUGGACAAUGGGCGAAAGCCUGAUCCAGCAAUGCCGCGUGUGUGAAGAAGGCCUUCGGGUUGUAAAGCACUUUUGUCCGGAAAGAAAUCCCUGGUCCUAAUAUGGCCGGGGGAUGACGGUACCGGAAGAAUAAGCACCGGCUAACUACGUGCCAGCAGCGGCCGGUAAUA
rnacentral:rRNA from 1 species